rnacentral:lncRNA from 1 species
UAGAAAAUAUCUCCCAGAUAGAAGUGGAUUUCCAGAGCUAAAUGAAUAAUACAACCAAAAGUACCUGCUGACUGAACAUAAGAAAUAUCCCUGAAUCCAAAGGGCAGCUUAGAUAGAGAAGUGAAAUGAAGCUCAGCUGAAGGCAGAAAUGGAACAAAUGCUCAUCUGAGGCACCAGGGAUGGAUUAACACAAGAGAUGCCUGGAGAUGGGAGGAUGAAGAAAAUGUAUGAUGCUGCCCUACUCAAAGCUGCUGAGAAAACAUCACAGUAAUGCCCGUCCUUGCCUGUGACCUGUUUUAGCCUCAGCCUCUCUGGAUACAAAGGAAUCUACUGUGUCCAGGGACAUGGGAAGCAUCCAGAUGAAGAGAGAUAUGAACAGCUCCUGAUACCCAGGAGAUAUCAAUCCAAUCACAUGAAGUAACAAGAGAAGAGGCACACACUUCAAA